UUCCUGUGACGGGCGAGCUUUUGGCCCGGGUUAUACCUGAUGCUCACGUAUAAGACGAGCAAAAAGCUUGUUGGUCAGAGGAG
ensembl:miRNA MIR208A microRNA 208a